CUAUUCUAUCUUUAAAUCUUCUAGAAUGAUCUUGAGCUACAAUAGUUCACAAAUUCCUAGAGCUAUUGCUCUAAAUUCUGCCUCAUUACUAGACCUUGCUACAACACUCUAUUUCUUACUUCUCCAAGUUACAAGGUUGCCACCAAGAAAGGUGCAAUAACCCGAUGUUGAUCUUCGGUCAACUGGGGACCCUGCAUAGUGUCACGACCCUCGCCCUAUUCCUGCGGGCCGCUGCGACGUUCCUAGGGUGCGGGUAGGCAUAAGGCCACCAGCCACCAUGUAGAACCCUACUACCUAUCAAUCAUCAAUAAAUCCUAAAAAUUUUGGCAUGAUGCAUACACAAAAUGAUCACCUUUCCAAUAUUAACAUGUCAGGAUUAUCUCAAUACAUACAACAACACUACCUGUCAGAGCAGCAAUCACAUAAUCUAUCACAUAAUAAACCUGGACAACAUAUAGGAAUCACAGGCACACAACUGAUCUGCACACAUACAUAUAUAUAUAUAUACCUGCUUCCCAAUCCAUCCAUGGUCAACCCAUAUCCACAACAGGAUCUAUGACUGUAACUAUACACUAUAUACAACAGAAGGUUUAUAAUACACCAACAUGUAUAAAUCUCUAUCUAUAUUAUACUAUGGAGCGGCACAGCAAGCAGGCAAUCUCUAACCCUGCUCCUCUCUAUACAACACCUGCCCUGCAAUCAAAAACACCAAACUGGGGAGUGAGUAUAUGAAUUCUCAGUGAGUGGAGUAGAGAGUACUAUGCACAUGAGACAAGAUAUAAUCAUGGCUCGAGGUGAAAUCUCAAGAGUAUAUGAGUAGUCAUCAAUAACAGGGUGCACACAACUCAACAUAAGAAAUUUGGAGUAAAUUAUCACAGUAUCACCACAAUCACAAUCAACUCAUUAUGAGCAUAUAUAGAAUAAUCAAAUAAACAUGAAUGAUACAUCAUGAAUAUGCUCAAUAGAUUAUAACACUAAAAUAUGCAAAUUGGGGAGUCAAUAUGCGAAGUCAUCACUAGACAGCUGCCGGAAGGUGGGUCUUACGCCCCUGGCGAACCACAGCAACUCCCUACUGUCACAUUCAUAUGCAGGAUAAGACACCAUACUGAUAAUGUAAAUGCUGGCAAGUAUCCAGAACAGAAAUCCAUAGAAACAUCUCAUAUUUGUAUACUAAACGGCACCUCGCGGGGUCUUACUUUGCUCGGCGGCAAGCCAUAUAUAAGUCGCAGGACCGGCCGAUCCUACGCCUAGGGUCGUGUCCACCCUAGGAAGGGACUAGGUUCCGCCCACCCAUAAGGCUACUAUGUGCACACAGGCCGAUGUCUAACCCCAUCGACUAUAGGUGUCCUGUAGAUACUGCCAAACCAUGCAUAAUGCCAUAAUGCACCCUCCCAAUACUCUACUAAAAAGGAGCAUAAUCAAGACUACUACUCACUCGGCCAUGAUCCAAUCGUAACUAACAUCAGGGUUGGGAGUGAGGAAUCAUGGGAGUGCAAUGCAGCUCAAUAUACCACUGAAAAGGGCUCUACAAGUCUUUGAAAUAGAGGAAAUGAAAUCAAUUUACAAAAGAAUUCAUUUCACAAUUCGGAAUCAAUUUGACUACUCUUUUACCCCUCGUAAUUUUUCUCAAUGUUCCCUCAAAUACGUGUACAAAAUAAUCAAGCAUGGAGAAACAAGAUUAUAGAUGAAUCUACUACAAUAUCAAUCAAUAUGCACAAGUGGAAUCAAUUUACAAUUGGUGACAUUCAUGAAAAUGAAUUAAGAAUGCUCAUGGUGCAAAGUACAUGACUCCCACUCACCUGCCAAUCCGGCACGGUCCUGAUACACCUCCAAAAAUCUACAGUAGGCAGUGGGAGACUUCUUCCUCUUGUUCCCUAGCUUCUUGCCUAAUUGUGACAUGCAUUAAUUAUACAUUCAGUCUUGUAUCAAGGACUCAUAAUCUAUGUAUCCACCAUAAACAUAGAAAACUUUAAUUGACUCAACUCCCCCCUCACUAAAUCUUCCUUUUUCUAUUAAUUAACUUGCUAUUUUUUCUCUUUCUAAAAUUUUCCUGACUCCCGAGCCAUCUCCGACUUCCAAAGUCGACUCCGCUGAGGCUCGAGUCGACUCCGGCACUUUCCGAGUCGACUCUGCCUAGCUCGAGUCGACCCCAAUCUGCCUCGAAUCGACUCCAGUUGACCUCGAGUCGACUCCGGCACGUUUCGAGGCGACUCCCAUCAUUUUUCUCACCUUCUUCAUCUCGGAUGAACAGUAAUCCGAACUGACAGCGGGUUAUUUCAUCUCGGUUUUGAUCCACUUUCCAAACUCCAAACUUUAUAAAAUUUUUAUCUAACAUGUUACACUCAUAGAGGUUUCC
rnacentral:lncRNA from 1 species